rfam:Myotis lucifugus cont2.68691, whole genome shotgun sequence.
GGCAGUGGUCAGGUGACACAACCCAGAAUCGGGCUCCCUCCUCUCUGGUUCCAGGAUGCGUGACCCGAGAAUCGCC